CGUGUAGGCGGCCAGACAGGUCCACUGUGAAAACUCGAGGCUCAACCUCGAGAGGUCGGUGGAAACCGUCUGGCUAGAGUCCGGAAGAGGAGAGUGGAAUUCCCGGUGUAGCGGUGGAAUGCGCAGAUAUCGGGAAGAACACCCGUGGCGAAGGCGGCUCUCUGGGACGGUACUGACGCUGAGACGCGAAAGCGUGGGGAGCGAACA
rnacentral:rRNA from 1 species